UCAGAUGCAGCGGGAAGCCGGAAUGGAGCGAAUGGGGAUGGAGCCAGUGGUGCCAUGGGUGCCUCCGCUGGGAACUCUGGUCGAUGCCCGAGGCGGGGUAAAGGUACUCUCUGUGUUGUCAUAGGCCCUCUCGAAUGGUGCCUUCCAGAGUGGGUGGUCUUACCGCUACCCCUGCGUGGUACAUCCCAGGACCGAACGGUUUCAUGUGGCGCGCCCCUUGGUGGUGAGCCUGGGGAACAGCCGAUGUAGAUGCCGGUGGACCGUUAGAGGAUGGAUGAUCCUCCAAGGGUGGAAGGGCAACGUGAGGAUGAAAACCCCGCGGAUUGCUGCAAUCUUGGACUCGGAAAAAUGUCUCCAUAAACUGAAGAUUACUUCUCUGUAGUGGCCACUAUCUUAACAGGAAGCAUGGAAAGCAUUUUCUGUGUGCUGGGCGUUGUGCUUGUUUGUGCUUUCCUGUUUAAUGCAGAGCAGGUCUCAAUGUAGAAAGCCAGGCACAGUCCCCCAGCGGGCAGGGGAGAGAAAGCUUCGGACUGGGAUCUGAAGGUCUGGAGUGGGGAAGGCCUCUGUCGUUGACUGCGAGUAAUAUGUGAGAAGGACAACAGGACUUUCCAUUCUGUUAGGAAAGGGGUCAACUCCGAGGGGACCCAAGGAUACUGCAUAGGUGAGAUAAAGACCAUGGCUUUGUCACCAUCUUGUCACCCCUGAGUAUGUUUCCUAGCGGAAUCCUCAGCCUGUCUAACUAUGCCUCUCUCAACAAGUUUAAAUUUGCUUAAUCAUUCCGACAUUCAUUCAUCCUCUCCACAGUUUCUGUCAAGCACAACUAUGUGUGUUAGGAAAGAGAAAAUCAACCUUGGCUUCAUGGAACUUACAUUGUGUUGGGGUCAUACAGCCCCAAAAGAUAAUUUAUCAGAUGUUCAUAACGGCUAUGGUUAACGUUAAACCGGGGUAGUGAAAUAGAGGGGAUGAUAUCUAGAAAGAGUGGCCAGAGACCUUCCUUCUAAGAUCGUGACAUUUGAGCAAAAGCCUAGAGGAGAUGCCUAUCUGGUAGAAAAGUGUCCCAGACAGAGUUAAGGCCAGUGGAAAAACUGGGGAGUGGAACUCAGUGUAGAGUGUAUGAAAAGAAUGAGGAGGGCUAUGUGACUGCCAUAGCAUGAUGGAGGGAGAGCCGGGAGAUCCGAGGAGAGCCGUGAUGAGGGGCGGGUCCCCUAGGGCCUUCUGCCAUAGGGGGCACCUUGACCUGAUCCACAGGAGGGUUCUUACCAGAGAAGCCCCCAGGGUUCUUUCAGAGGCUCAGAUCACACAAUGAUUGUUGAGGAGCUCUAGAUUCAUCCCAGGAAAUCCACAGACCCUCUGCAGUUGAACAUGCCUUUCCUGGAAUCCGCUACACUCAAGGGGAAUCCCCCCUACUGCUCCCAGUGGAGACAGAGGAAGGACCCUCACGGUAUGAGUGAGGUCACAGUCAGUCUUGUAAAGGCAAAAAAGGAGGAUGUAACAGGCACAGAGAUGGCAGAGAGAAAGACAAAGAUAGAACAUUGGAGAGGAACAGAGAGACUAUUUCUAGCAGCAAAGGAUUCCCAAUUAGCACCCACCUAUGGGCCCCAUUGCUUUUUCGAUGAUCCCACAGAUGUAGGCAAUUUCAUCUCUAGUUCCUCUGCCUUUUCUAAAACCAGCUUGAACAUCUGGAAGUUCACGGUUUAUGUAUUGCUGAAGCCUGGCUUGGAGAAUUUUGAGCAUUACUUUACUAUCGUGUGAGAUGAGUGCAAUUGUGCAGUAGUUUGAGCAUUCUUUGGCGUUGCCUUUCUUUGGGUUUGGAAUAAAAACUGACUUUUUCCAGUCCUGUGGGCACUGCUGAGUUUUCCAGAUUUGCUGGCAUAUUGACUGCAGCACUUUCACAGCAUCCUCUUUCAGGAUUUGAAAUAGCUCAACUGGAAUUCCAUCACCUCCACUAGCUUUGUUCGUAGUGAUACUAUGCCAAAGCCUUUGACUGUGUGCAUCACAAUAAACUGUGGAAAAAUUCUGAAAGAGAUGGAAUAGCAGACCACCUGACCUGCCUCUUGAGAAACCUGUAUGCAGGUCAGGAAGCAACAGUUAGAACUGGACAUGGAACAACAGACUGGUUCCAAAUAGGAAAAGGAGUAUGUCAAGGCUGUAUAUUGUCACUCUGCUUAUUUAACUUAUAUGCAGAGCACAUCAUGAGAAAUGCUGGGCUGGAUGAAGCACAAGCUGGAAUGAAGAUUGCCGGGAGAAAUAUCAAUAACCUCAGAUAUGCAGAUGACACCACCCUUAUGGCAGAAAGUGAAGGGGAACUAAAAAGCCUCUUGAUGAAGUGAAAGAGGAGAGUGAAAAGGCUGGCUUAAAGCUCAACAUUCAGGAAACUAAGAUCAUGGCAUCUGGUUCCAUCACUUCAUAGCAAAUAGAUGGGGAAACAGUGGAAGCAGUGUCAGACUUUAUUUUUUGGGGGGGCUCCAAAAUCACUGCAGAUGGUGACUGCAGCCAUGAAAUUAAAAGACGCUUACUCCUUGGAAGGAAAGUUAUGACCAACCUAGACAGCAUAUUAAAAGCAGAGACUUUACUUUUCCAACGAAGAUGCAUCUAGUCAAGACUAUGGUUUUUCCAGUGGUCACGUAUGCAUGUGAGAGUUGGACUGUGAAGAAAGCUGAGAGCUGAAAAAUUUAUGGUUUUGAACUGUGGUCUUAGAGAAGACUCUUGAGAGUCCCCUGGAUUGCAAAGAGAUCCAGCCAGUCCAUCCUAAAGGAGAUCAGUCCUGGGUGUUCAUUGGAAGGACUGAUGCUGAAGCUGAAACUCCAAUACUUUGGCCACCUCAUGCGAAGAGUUGACUCAUUGGAAAAGAUCCUGAUGCUAGGAGGGAUUGGGGGCAGGAGCAGAAGGGGACAAUAGCGGAUGAGAUGGCUGGAUGGCAUCACCGACUCGAUGGACAUGAGUUUGAGUAAACUCCAGAAAUUGGUGAUGGACAGGGAGGACUGGCAUGCUGUGGUUCAUGGUGUCGCAAAGGGUCAGACACGACUGAGUGACUGAACUCAACUGAAGUGAUGGGCCCCCAGCCCUGCUACUGGAUGAGGUACCUAUCUCUACAGGAGAAAAGAAGCUGCUCCCCCUCCCUGCACCCCCCUCCCCACCAGGGACUGUCUCUAGGAAAUGACUCAGUUGCCCGUGGCCUGGCUCUUGAUCAUACUCUCUUGGCACACAUCAGGGUCCUCUGCCCUGUCAAGACAUGGAGAUGAUCCAGUCAUGGGGAGGCUCAUGCUGUACACAGGGUCCCUCACAACCCCUCCAGCCCUGACUGCCCUCCUGCUGACCUCAGUUCCAAUGAAUGCUUUAGUGGGGGAAAGAGAGGCAGGGAUCACUGCAUUCAUGGUGGAGCCUCAUGCAAAUUGGUGAAUGUGAAGUUUCUCCCCACCUGCUUGGAGGCUCACCUCUGUAUUUUCCACCACCACGUCCCCAAGGAAUGUGCAGAUUACAUUUGAUGCAUCAGGUAAGCAGCUGGGUGUGUGAUGGGGAGACACAGAACAUAUCCUGAUAGUGAGACAGUCACGGGGUCCUUGUGGCCCUGUGCCAACGCCCCCCUCCCCCACUACCUGGCCAGGGUUCUGCUGGGUCUUCCCUGCCUCCUCCAAGGAGCCCAAGCCUGCAUCCAGUUCCUCCUGUCCUCAUGAGCCGAGACCCUCCAUCUGCACUGAGCCUUGGGCUCCCAUCUGCAAAUAGUGGCCCCUUUGCCGUGGGUUGGGCAGAUUGUCUGAGUGAGUGUGUGUUUUCUGUGGGUUCUGUGAGGUACUCAACUUUUCUUCCAAUAAAUUUGUUUUUGUUUUUUUCGAAGUUAACCUUGACUGACACCAAGGACUUGAGCUAUUUUAGACUUUAGACCACUCAUUUGGUACAAUGAGUGAGAAGUAGGUAACUGACAUUUACAGAAAAGGGGUGGGAGUGCGGUGAGGAAUUUGGGCUUGGUUAUCUGGCCUAAUUUUGGCUUGAUUAUCUGCCCUAAGUCAUGUUGAAAGCAGGGUUGGGAAUUUGGCAGUCUAUGAGUGCAGUGUUGAAAUCAUUUUUUAAAUGGUCGUGUAAUACAGUAAACUGAUGGCAAUCAUUAACUCUGGGGAGAGAAGGGAUGAGGUGAGCAAUGCACCUGGAUAUGUGGUUGGUAGGGUCUUUUAAAGCAAAAGAUCCAUGUCUUACAAGAGGACAUCUAAGCAAAAAUGACAAGAAGUUAGGUACUUUUGAGGGACGAAUCAAUAGUAUCUGGAAUGAAAUUCAAUUUGAAAGCUGCUACAGAAUGGUGAAGGGAAAGGAAGGGAUGUUGCUCAGUCAUGUCCGACUCUGUGCAACCCCAUGGGCCUACCACGCUCCUCCAUCCAUGGGAUUUUCCAGGCAAGAGUACUGGAGUGGGUUGCCAUUUCCUUCUCCAGAGGAUCUUCCCAAAUCAGGGAUCGAACCUGGGUCUCCCGCAUGGUAGGCAGACGCUUUACCAUCUGAGCCACCAGGGAAAUCCUACAGAAUGGUAGGAAGGGCCUAAAAAUUUCAAAGAUUGCAGGGUGGCCUGUUUAAUGAAAGGAAACCAUCAUCAAUCCCUUAGGUGAUCAGCUCAAGAUUCACCUUGAAACCUCCAAAACCAUGUUCCAAAUUUAUGUCUUAUAGUCACAGUGCUCAUUCAUGUAGCUGGACAAGUUGCAAAUUUGGUUUCCAACUUCAGGGUGUGUUGCAUUCAUAUCCUCACCAGAUUUGUUAUGUGGAUGUUAAAGAAUGAAUUGGUAAUAUGGUUGUAGAUGCAGAAGUUUUUAUUGCAAACAUUAUGUUUGCUCAUAGUCUUAUGCUGCCAUUUUUCUUUCCGUCACAUAAAUUUAAAGCUUCUCAUGUCUGUUUUUGUUUCUGGUGUUGAUAACUAAUUAAAUUCCAGUGCUUGGCUUUGAAAACUUCCUAACUCCUAGUAGGAGAUCUCUCACUGUGGUAAGAAGUAGGAAAUAGAUGCAGAAAACAGAAAUUAUUCUGAAUCAUAACCUGUUCCUGUACUGGUUAUUUUGAAGAAAGGAUCCUGAGAGACAGAGUUCAGAGAUAUUUGUUUGGCAGGACCUGAGAAAUUUAUCUUUUACCCAAGAAUGAUCUGUAAUUCUGAUUGGUUGUCCUUCAUAAUAAUUUCUUGCCCCUUUAGUACUAUUUAAAUAAAUCUCUCUCUUUUUUGUAAGGUGCAUAUAUUUGCGAGUUUCUCCUUUACCCAGAAGAGGAGCACUGACUCUCACAUUUACUUGUCUGGCAGUAAAAAGAAAAAACAAAAUAACCUAUGACUGUUGAGGUUCUUCUUGAGAUGAAGUUUGCAAGUCGAUGCCUCAUUUAAAGUAUCAGGACUAACUAUAUUAUGGGAGGCUUUAGAAGACUUGAAGCAUCUCCAGGCCCAAACCCAAAUGAACCUUCCUUGGUAGCCUGAACAUGUCUUCUUCCCUUGUGUGAUGAGGUUGUUCCUACCUUGGCGGAGUUUGCUGAUGUAUUAUCUUGUAAGGAAAUCUCUAGUCUCUUCGUAUCUUGACAUUCCCUAUUGCCUUUAAACCUAUAACUAUAGUGGAUCCCACUCGGGGGAAGUGUGGUUAUAAUGUUAUAUCUUGUAGUUAGAGUUAACAUAUAGAAAAAAGAACUAGAGGUACUUGCUAGUUUGCAUCUCAUUGUCUGGGUAAUAUACUUGGAAAAGGAUUCUGGGGAGCCACUCACUGACCAAGGAAGGAAAGAUACUUCGGAUCAGGAGACUGUUAUCAAUAUGAGUGUGCCUAAGAGAGGAUCUAGAUUAAAUGUAGUGGGUCAGUCAGAUGAUUAUUUUGACUCCUUACAUUAUCACAUCGUACUCCUCAAUAUACCAACAUCUGUGGUGUUACUGAAUGCUUUGUACAAUGUCAUAGUACCUUGCUCGAUACUAGUCCUGAACAAAGAAAUUGUUUUAUAACCCAUGUGGAAUUACUGAUCUUAUUUUAGAAUAUAUCUUAUUAUCCAGAAGCAGUUAGUUUUAUACAAUAUCUGAAUAAUUUACUGACGUUCCAGCGAUAGCAUCUUUUUAGCAACUAACAAGUCUCCCUCUCUCGCAUAGAAUGUAGUCACAGACCUAUAGUUAUUUUUGUUUCAUUUUGUUAUUUCAUUUUAACUCUGCUUGGGCCUUUGUGUCAAUUUGUAGGCUCCACUGUUUAGUCUCUGUUCCUGCUCACUCCCCUGCUGCUCCUCUCUGAUCCUUUGGACUGUUUUCUCUUCCACCCUUCACCCCCAUCCUAUUCCUGUAUGAUGUGAUGUUUGAUAUGCUGCUACUUUGGCUGCUGUUUGCCGUUCAGUGUUUAUACCAAGGCAAAGCUCUUUGCUUCGCCCCUUUUAAAUCUGUUCAGUUUUGUUGUUGAAUAUACCAGCACAGGGUGUAUAGUUUCCUAAGACUAUUGCAAAACAAGAACUGACUUAGAGAAACUCUAGGAAUAAACUAACUACCCUGCCUUCCAAGUCAAAUGAUCAGGAGAAUGGGGUCGUUAAUAUCAAUGGUGAUACUUUGCAGAUAAGUGCUUAGCUGCAUGCCAAGGUGAAGCUAAAGACCAGCAGCAGCAUCUUGGAGUCCUCUUAUCAAGGAGCCUCCCUUGAUGGCCUAGAGCUGGAAACACUUUUCCCACUGAGGCACAGAGGAGGAAUCUGCUGAGUCCACUUGGACCAGGGGCCCUCAGAAGCAUUCGGAGACCAGUGAGGACUAUCAAGUGUUGAGCACAGUUGGGUCUCCUAAGAAAGUGGGAAUGAUAAAGCUACUGUGUGUGCGCCAUUUCUGCACCUGAAACCCAGACUGCCUGGAGGAUAAAGGACUGAAGAAUAUGAUGCCACCUGAAAGAAGGGCGUGUUGGGUUGCAGUUGGUGGGAGGCAAAGCUUGGGAAGCUGCUUGAGAAUUAAAACUUGGCUUCUAGGGCUCGUUGGCCUCCACAGAGCAAGAGAGGAAAAACUCCUAAUAAGUAUGAAAAUUCCAGUUAUCAUAGAAUAAAAAGAAGAAUAUGCUCCUGGAGAAGAGUGAAGAAAUAGCUACAGAAGGAAUGAAAAGGCUAAGCCAAAGUGGAAACAAUGCCCAGUUGUGGAUGUGUCUGGUGGUGAAAGUAAAGUCCGAUGCUAAAAGAACAAUAUGGCAUAAGAGCCAGAGGUGUAGUCAGAGAAAUCAGUUGCCGGUUCAGAGAUUUAAAUGUGCAGUGCUCCAAGCAAUAAAAGGAAACAGAGGUAUGCAUUUAUGUGUUUAUUCCAUGGAAGUGAGUAAAGCCAUUGCCAGCAUGACGGAAAACCCAGAAGCAGAGAAGGGAAUGGUUCAUCAAAACAUGUAUAAAAAUAGGUAUUAAAAACCGCAAUGUCUAGUUCUGUCAUGAGUGUCUUUCUGAGACACAUUCUCCACUAAGGGUAACCUGGGACUACCUAUCACCACAGUUUGUGGAUGCAUAAGAAAGACUGCACUGGAAGGAAAAAAACACAGUCUUCAAGCCCCUUUUCUCAUCCUCCGGAGACUCUGUGGUUCCAGGACUCUACCUCAGUAGCCGGAAAUCCUCAACCUGCACUGCACUCGCCCAACACAGGGAGCAUGCGCAGGGCGUGCGCUCCCCUUGGCGCACAUGCAGCUUGGUGCCCAGACGCCUUCCUGAGGGUAUUCUGUGAGGAGCGUUGGGCCUCAGACGGACGUGUUUAUUCAGUCCCGGUUCUUUCUGACUACUUGAGACGCACCAGGGGGAAAUAUGAGUGGGCAAGUGCCAUCAACAUUGGGACCUACAGGUCAAGAUUCCUCCCAGUUGGAUGAACCUGUGGUUGACCCGCAGCCCAGUGUUGAGCAACCUCAAGAAGGGGAACCACCAGCUGAGAAUCAGGAUAUCACACCUGGAAAGGAGGAAGUAAACGGAGAGGAUCCAGUGAAUCAUGAUGAAGAGAAGGGGAAGGAUGCCUCUGGAGUUUCUGACCUGGAAACUGAUCUCCAGGAUUUGGCUGAGGCAAAGACUGGGGGUGAAGGUGGAGAUGGUCCUGAUAUCAAGGAGGAGAUUGCAUCAAAUAUAGAGCCUGUUGAAAUGCCAAAAGCAGGUGAAGGGCAACCAUUUGCUUGAAAGAAGUUAAACUGAAACCAUCUAUGCUGGUCUUAUAUUGUGUGUUUGACUGUUACAGUUCUGUCAAUAAAGUUUCUUUUUCUACUUGCA